CCAGACUCCUACGGGAGGCAGCAGUGAGGAAUAUUGGUCAAUGGACGAGAGUCUGAACCAGCCAAGUAGCGUGAAGGAUGACUGCCCUAUGGGUUGUAAACUUCUUUUAUAUGGGAAUAAAAUGUUCCACGUGUGGGAUUUUGUAUGUACCAUAUGAAUAAGGAUCGGCUAACUCCGUGCCAGCAGCCGCGGUAAUACGGAGGAUCCGAGCGUUAUCCGGAUUUAUUGGGUUUAAAGGGAGCGUAGAUGGGUUGUUAAGUCAGUUGUGAAAGUUUGCGGCUCAACCGUAAAAUUGCAAUUGAUACUGGCAGCCUUGAGUACAGUUGAGGUAGGCGGAAUUCGUGGUGUAGCGGUGAAAUGCUUAGAUAUCACGAAGAACUCCGAUUGCGAAGGCAGCUUACUAAACUGCCACUGACAUUGAUGCUCGAAAGUGUGGGUAUCAAACAGGAUUAGAUACCCUCGUA
rnacentral:rRNA from 1 species